rnacentral:rRNA from 1 species
AUUGAACGCUGGCGGCAUGCUUUACACAUGCAAGUCGAACGGCAGCGCGGGCUUCGGCCUGGCGGCGAGUGGCGAACGGGUGAGUAAUGCAUCGGAACGUGCCCAGUAGUGGGGGAUAGCCCGGCGAAAGCCGGCUUAAUACCGCAUACGACCUGAUGGUGAAAGCGGGGGACCGAAAGGCCUCGCGCUAUUUGAUCGGCCGUUGUCGGAUUAGCUAGUUGGUGGGGUAAAGGCUUACCAAGGCGACGAUCCGUAGCUGGUCUGAGAGGACGACCAGCCACACUGGGACUGAGACACGGCCCAGACUCCUACGGGAGGCAGCAGUGGGGAAUUUUGGACAAUGGGGGCAACCCUGAUCCAGCCAUGCCGCGUGCGGGAAGAAGGCCUUCGGGUUGUAAACCGCUUUUGUUCGGGAAGAAAUCCUCUGGGCUAAUACCCCGGGGGGAUGACGGUACCGGAAGAAUAAGCACCGGCUAACUACGUG